UACGGGUGCGUAACGCGUAUACAAUCUGCCUUUCACAUAGGGAUAGCCCGAAGAAAUUUGGAUUAAUACCUAAUGGUAUAUAGAAGUGGCAUCGCAUUUAUAUUAAAGCUGAGGCGGUGAAAGAUGAGUAUGCGUUCUAUUAGCUAGUUGGAGAGGUAACGGCUCCCCAAGGCUACGAUAGAUAGGGGUUCUGAGAGGGAUAUCCCCCACACUGGUACUGAGAUACGGACCAG
rnacentral:rRNA from 1 species